GGCUAUGUGUUUUAUUUACGAGGAUGAUGUAUAAGAUACAUAUAGCGGGACCAAAAGGCCAGGAGGCUGAGAGGUCUUGUUUAUUAUCUGUCAUCCGACCUUUGCCAUGACAGGUGCGCUUGCAUGGCAGGUCACCCAUCAUCUUAAUAAAACUAUUAUUUUCGUGUUUUGGAGGGGAGAUCGCAUGGGGAAUUGCCCGGGUUCUCCCCUCUGCUGUCCGUGUCCUGCUUUCUCUUACUUCUCUUUGACUUACGAUCCUUGCCUGAGAUCGCGCUGCCCUUUCACGAGGCACUCCAGCUUAGCAAUCAAUUCACAUCUACUGCACGAUGUUGCAAUUUGUGAAGCUGACUCCAAGGUAUUCUCUCUUUUAUAACUCAAAUACGAAUUUCUUAUUUUUAGAAACAGCCAGUCAUAUUUCCAAGACUUGGAACAAACAUAAAAAAAAAAGAUUCAUAUUGUUUUUUUUAGUAUUAUCAUUGCAACCUGUUUUUCAUUUCUUAUCCGAUAUUUGGUCCCGUCAAACAUAAAUCUUUGAUACAGUGGGCUAUCAAGAUAAUGCAACCAAAACUGGUUUCAACGCAAGAUUGGCAGUUACUAUAUAGCCACCAAAACUAAGAGGUACUGAAUCAUAGGUUUGAUUUAUAAGGGUUCAUUUUUUAGUCUGUAAUACACGAAAGCACUUGCUCAUUACAACAACCCGUUAUUGCGUGGUAACAAUCAAGUUUAGUUCAUUAACAACGCGACUGCAAACGCAACCUAAGCAUAUCUUUGAUUCUUACAAACCAACCAUGGGCAUGAAUGAGGUUUGUUAUCUGGAUCUAGUUCAUCGGUUUCCUUUUCUUGUUAUCCCGUGCAAAACUAUUGUAUGAACAGCUUUGCUUUCGCUAUUUACAAUUAAGAUCUGGCUUUCAAGUAUGUAAAUUAGAGAAUAUUGUGCCCUGUGAUAUCCUUACCUCGGAGCUGUUUUCAAGUUUUUCUACUCUGUAUUGUUAUUUGCAACUGGCUCCUGUUGUUUGGUUCAUUGGAUCUAAGUGAUGUAGCCUGAAGAUUGUGGUGUUGAAGAUGGGAUCUGUAGACCCCAUUGGAUGAUUGUUGGGCUGCACGACUUCAAUGACCAUGGCUUCUAGGGAAAAAGAGGGAGAGCGCAGGAGCCUUCACAACAUUCUUUAUGAAGCUGCAUCACGCUAAAUCAGCUAUUGAGGUGAUCCAAGUUUUUCUCAAAUGGUUCAAGAUUUGAGUUGCUACUGUUUGAUUAUUUUAGUUUGAGGUUUGUUUUAAUGCAAUUUGCAGCUGGACAUUAAUAUAUAUUAGAUACAGAGCUCGUUCUAGUCGUCAUAAUGCUAGUUUUUGGAAGCUGGAAAUGCCUUGUUUUCUCAAGCUUUGACAUUAGUUCGAGAUUUUUUAUUUGACGGUGUUUUCUUGCCUUAUUUUUAUUUUUUGCUCUCUAGACGUAGCUGUUUUGUUGAAAAUAUGUGGAAUUAUCUUUCCUUUGAUCGAUUUGAAGAAGAAAGCGGUCGUUCUUUUUGAAGCAUUUUCUGGAAUUAUGUAUCAUGUCCAAAGCUUUUACAUGAGCGUUAUCUUCUUUCUUUCCUUCCAUGUUUGUCAGGUUUACAAUCGAUCCUGAUAGCCUUGAAAGCCAGUCAAGAAUUGCGUUUCUUAAACCACGAUUUUCUUGCAGGUGUUCGAGAAAUCAUUUGUGUAAAUUCACUUUUAUCUUAUAAAUGCACAAGAUGUUGGUUCCACAAUCAUUUUAUGGUCAUUCCGAGGUGGGUUGAUGACGAGUUGUGUUCUAGGUGUUGAAUGUGCUUGUAACUUCAACCAUUAAAUCAUGGUUAACGGUUAGGGUUUCAAUGGCAUGUAGAUCAUUUCUUAAAGCAUUUUGUCAAAAGCAAGGGGGUGGGUGAUUGUCAUCUUUUACCUAAUGUUGCUUUUAUUCAAGCGCCAUAAAAAAAUGCCAUUAAUAAUUGUGGUCAUGUUUCAUCUGGAAAUCAAAGAUCUCUUUACUGCUACAAUCUUGUUUGGAAAAAACUUGUUUCUACAUUCCGUUGGGUUUUUACGUCAAAGAGCACUUUUGAGGAUCUUUAAGAUUUUUUUAAUUUAAAGUAAUUUUUAUUGUUUUCAUGUGUUAAUGUUAAAUUUUUUUUAUUUUUUAAAAUUUAUUUUUAUAUCUGACCUUAUUAAAUCAUUAUUAAAUUGAUGUAUAUAUAAAAAAUAUUUUUAUGUAUAUAAAAAAUUAUGAAAUUAAUAUUUUAUUUUAAUAAAUAAUUUUUUGGAAAAAUUAAAAAUUGAUGAAAGGAAAAUAGAAGGAACGGAAGUUGCUGUUUUUUGGAAGGCUAUUCUUCAAUGUUGAAAAGAUCUGUAAGCUCAAAAUGGUAAGAGCGCUCAAAGUCCCAUUAUGAUGGUGUUUUGAGAGGUUGGUGGUUCAAAUCCACCCAGGUCUUAUUAGUUCAUGUGGUUCGUUCUUUUCUGCUGCUUUUUUGUUUGUUUUAUCUACUUGUCUAGAAUUUACUUAAAGACGCUUAAUAACGUAGUCAUAGAAUUAUUUAAUUUACUUUAUUUUUUUAAAAAAUUAUUUUUAAUUAUAAAAACAUAGCUUUAAUUAAAAAAACAAAAAAAUAAUUUUUAUGGAAUACUGUUGGGGUCAGGGUUAAAAUUUUAAAACGACAUCAUUUUCCAUGUUUUUUCUUAAAAAGUUAAAAGCAAUAUAAUGUCAAGAUUUUUCAUGAUGUUCAUUAUUUUGCAGUUACGUUGCUUUGUUCAGAUCAAAUCGUUCUGUAGAACAAGGCAUUGCGAUUGUAGGGUGUCUUGGUAAACAAAUGAAUAAUGUUUCUUUUUUCUUUUUGAUUUUUUUAAUAGAAAAUUGAAAAAAGGACAAAUUCUUUCAUCAAGAGAAAGAAUUGCAGUUAUUUUUUCAUAAAAGAUCAAAAGCAAUCCCUUUAACAAUCCUUUUCAAUUAUAAAAUAUUAAUUUUAUUUGAUUUAAAUUGAAUUAAAUCUCCUAAAAAAUUCUAGAGGGUUGAAAAAAAAUUAUAGGAUUUUAUUACUAUUUUAUAUUGAUAUAAUUAUUAACAGCCUAAAUCGCUUGAAGAAUUCCAAAAAAAAUUAAAAUUUUUUUUAUAAAACUUUACCAUAAAAAUUCAAAUCAUAACGAAAUGAAAUUUGGAGGGUGCUAAAAUAACCUUAGUGUUAAAUACUAAUAAAUUUACCACCGGAAUAGAAAAAAUAUUAAAUAUUCAACUCAUCGUUUAUAAUUUUGUUGGUAAUAUUAAUUAUACUAUCAACGGACCCAGCCAAAAUCAUCCCUAAAACAGGCAUGAACACCUCGAAAACCCAUUAUUUUUCAAGUUGUCUUUAGGUUCCAGCAACAACGUGUGAGGAGAAUGGACGGCCACUGUUUUUGGGUUUAAAUCUAACAUUGUUGCCAAGAUUAUCUUAUAAAAUAUAAUGUCAAUUAUAUAAAUAAUUUAUUUUAUGUGUAUAUAUAAAGAUGUAAAAGAUUAUGAAUCGGUAGGAUGUAAAUUAUAAUUUUUGAGGAAAAAAACAAACAGAACUCAAGUAAAAUGAAACUUAUAGAAUGAUUUUUUUUUUAAAAAUAUAAACUAAACAAUUUUCCGAAAAUAAACAAACCCCGUAUCUCGCCAGCUCAAAUGUGCCGUCCAUCCCUUCAUCGACACCUAAUUUUCAAACAAGGUAAGAACUCAACCACUUAAACUAAAUCUCAGCCCUUAAUCAUUCAACUAAGCUACCAAUCCUGUCCGUCUAUUCUCCCAGAGCCUCUAUAAAGUCGCACACCCGCCAUAUAGCUUUUUCUGCCUUAUCAGUUCAGUUUGGUAUUCCCAGAUCUACCCUUCAUGGAUUCCCCUUCGAUCUUUUGGAUUCCAGGUCCACCUAGAUCGCUCUGCGAUCUUUAUCCUGAUAUCAGACUUGAUAAUCGAAGUUCAACACCGUGAUUUCACGGUCUGUUAUCUUAUUUGAUCGGAGAUCGCUCCUGAGGUAUGUAUCAGUAUUUUUAUUGCGUGUUCCUUGGCUAAAGAUGAUUUAAAUUCUGUUUCCGGAUUAUUGAUUAAGCUAUUAAUUUGAUUUUGUUUUGUAGAUACGGCGGAGCUCUGUUUCGAAAGCUCUAAUUCUCAAAGGAUAUAUCCAGUCGGUGUAUGAGCAGCAGAUGAUUCGAGAUUUCAUUUGAAGGCGGGGGCGAUAGAGCAAUUACAGAAUCUCUGUUGCUUGAUGAUGCGACCGUGGACCGUGGGCUGUGAUUUUGUUGAUUGAUUAAGGAGCGAUGGAAGGAGAUAGGGGGUGGAGCUGUGUGGUUUAUUUACGAGGAUGAUGUAUAAGAUAUAUAUACCGGGACUAAAAGGCCAGGAGGCUGAGAGGUCUUGUUUAUUAUCUUUGUCAUCCGACCUUUGCCAUGACAGGUGCGCUUGCAUGGCAGGUCACCCAUCAUCUUAAUAAAACUAUUAUUUUCGUGUUUUUGAGGGGAGAUCGCACGGGGAAUUGCCCGGGGUCUCUCCUCAGCU
rnacentral:lncRNA from 1 species